GCAUUACGGAGUGGCAGACGGGUGAGCUAACACGUGGGAACGUGCCCAAAGGUACGGAACAACUCCGGGAAACUGGAGCUAAUACCGUAUGUGCCCGAAAGGGGAAAGAUUUAUCGCCUUUGGAUCGGCCCGCGUCUGAUUAGCUUGUUGGUGAGGUAACGGCUCACCAAGGCGACGAUCAGUAGCUGGUCUGAGAGGAUGAUCAGCCACACUGGGACUGAGACACGGCCCAGACUCCUACGGGAGGCAGCAGUGGG
rnacentral:rRNA from 1 species